UACCAUGGCAAAUCUGAGAAUACGGGCCAGCGCAUUCCUUCAGUAAGUGAUGGACAGUCUGCUAUUAUCCCGGAAUUACUUCACCCGCAUCGCAUACCAUGCGCAGACUUUCAAAUGCGGUGAACUUUGAAUGCACCCCUCAUUAAAUCUCAGUGCUCCUUCGAGAAACAAUCGAUGUUCGGAUGGCAGGUGUUGGCAGCGUGAACGCACGAUUACAUGCUAUUCCAGUGUCGAUGGAUGUGGCACUCCCUCUCUGGAUAGUGACGCCCAAGCCACCUAAUAGGGCUCUGGUAAAGCUGCCUAGGAAUGCUUGAUCAUGGUCUCGAGCCUAAUCAGGAAAAUCAAAAAGAUUGCGAAUGAAGCAACGUGCGAAACCUUCGCAAGAAACAAUGGCUUCAUCUGACUAAUUAGGUAAGGUGAUUUUGUUGGAAGUCUGAGUGGCUGUAUUGAGUGCUAUCUUCUGGGGGUUAUAUCCACUUGUGUGUGGUGCUAGUCUGUAGUAGGAAGCUGAGGAUCCCACAGAUUAUUACAGAGUGCUUUGGAAGCAGGUUGCAAAAAAGCCCUUCUAUAUUCAAUGUCAUCUGCACCUAGGCCUGGGUCGUUCUGUAUUACCCUUAGCCGCUACCCCUUGUCCAACGAACGAAGGCAGUGUUCGGCAAGAACGGAAGCGGGGUGGGCCAUCAUUUGAAGACCUUGUUUACCCUGAAGCCAUGGGAUGUUAGCGGGC
rnacentral:sRNA from 2 species